UUGGCUCCACCUUGUGAUGGGAAUGACGGCCACCGCUUGGCUUUAGGAAAACUUUGCGCUGCUUCUCUGCCUUUCGUUUGUUUAGAAUUGCCAUCGCUUCUCUUUCUUCAUCGUUUAAUCUGCCAUUCUUAUGACUUUAAAAUUUUUGUGUUCAUUAACGGCACAUCGAUUUCUGAAAUAAAAAAUGAUACUUUAAUAGAAAAUUGGGGGUUUUGCUGAGUUUCUUCACACUUCCGUAAUUGCUCCAUUAAGAUCAUAGUCGAAAGAGACUGAACCAACCAAGGUUGUAGGGAAUGGAAUCAAUAAAAAUGAAAGAAGCUCUUUUGAGAAAGAGGCUGAGUGUGGAGGAAAACUGUAGGAAGGCAUAUUUUCUUACUGAGAUUUGAGACACAAAAUUCAAUCAGUUUUCCAGUGAAAAUCAUAGAAACUGAUGAAUACUGUCACCCAUGUUGAAAAAGGUGCACAUCCUAUUCCGUAGCAAGCUGAUAAAGAUCCCAAACUCUUAUCCCUGCAUCUUCCUUUACUUUGCUUUUGGUGUACUUCUGUUUCAAUUGCAAACAUAUAAGAGUUUCAGUCAACUAUGUUACCUAUUGAACUUUGUAUCAAUGCAUGUGAGAUGUUUAGAUGGAUUACUCCGGAAGUUCUUAAAUUCUUUCUUACACAUACUUAUCACUUUUCAUCA